GUAGUGGUGGUUCAGUAGUAGAAUUCUCACCUUCCAUGUGGGAGACCUGGGUUUGAUUCCUGGCCGAUGUA
rnacentral:tRNA from 1 species